UACGUAGGUGGCCAGCGUUGUCCGGAUUUAUUGGGCGUAAAGCGCGUGUAGGCGGCCAGAUAGGUCUGCUGUGAAAACUCGAGGCUCAACCUCGAGCUGUCGGCGGAAACCAUCUGGCUAGAGUCCGGAAGAGGAGAGUGGAAUUCCUGGUGUAGCGGUGAAAUGCGCAGAUAUCAGGAAGAACACCUAUGGCGAAGGCAGCUCUCUGGGACGGUACUGACGCUGAGACGCGAAAGCGUGGGGAGCGAACAGG
rnacentral:rRNA from 1 species